rnacentral:lncRNA from 1 species
UAUAAUCAGUUCUACCAACUAUGUAUAAGUAUACAUAAAUAUGUAUAAACAUUAGAUUUCGAUUCAUAUCUAACAAAUUUCUAAUAACUCAUUAAUAAAUUCAAAGAAUAAAUUCAAAGAAAGAUAGUAUAAAUUACCUCAAAUGGAAUUUCUUUCUCCUCCCUUUCCCUCUCACUUGCUCUCUCUUCUCUCUCAAUUUUCCUCUCCCUCUCUCGGUCUCCUUUCUUUUCUCUUCUCCUUUCUCGUUUU